rnacentral:lncRNA from 1 species
GUCAGCAUUUAUAGGGAAUAUUUUUUGUAGUUUUUAAUCAUCAGUUUUCAUAUUAUGGGAUACAAAUAACAUUUUUUAUACACUUCUCAUUUGAGUACUAGACUAGGCAAAAAAUCAGUAAUCUAGUAUCCAGUGAGUUUCACAAUGAAUUGCCCAUUCAUUUUUUUCCUUUUUAAUCACAAUUUAAAAAGGUUAAUGUUGAUGUUCCAAAUUAGUUUUCCAAUAUACUAGUGCUUUACAUUGAAAUUAUAGUAUUACAACAGUGGAAUUUUUUGCUUCCUGUAAUAGUGAUUCCUUAUUCCCCAUAGGCCAGUUCUCAUACUAUAUAAUAGUGCACAUGUUUACAAAACUCAACAUAAGUUUGAGGCAAUGGGGAUAGGUCAGAAUCAGUGCUUAAAUAUUUGGUGGAUUUCUACUCUACCCCUACAAUGCAUACUACCCAGUUGUCCGUAAUUGGGCCUAUGAAGAUUGCAUUUAUGAAGACUUCAAUAUGAUUAUGUUUGUCUAAAAUUGGCUAUUUUGAUAAACUGGGAACAUGAAGAUGCCAAUUCUGCCAUUUGCACAAGAAUAGGACAGCUUCUAGUGAAGUGAGCUGGUCACUGUGAAUCAGUUUUGCCACCCACAGAGAUUCAAGGCUAGCUAGUCUUACUAACUGACACAUCUGAUGUGUCACAUCUUGUUUCUCAUUGAAAUCCUAGAGCCUCUGUUAAUAAUGAAACUCAUUAAAUUAGUUUGCUGGUAAAUGUUUAACAACUGGCUCUCCAAAAACAUCCACAUAUGAUAUACUUAAGUUUAAUCUGAAUUAUUAACAUCAUCUCCAUUGCUUUCUUAAUGAACCAAAUAGAUAAACCUCAAUUUGUAACAUUUGGCAAUUUCUUAUGUUUAAAUGUUCAUACUCAUUUUAACAAUUAUUUCUUGAGAUCUCAUAGGAAUUCCAGCACUUCUCUGCUUCAUUAUCUAGAUUUCUUAAGCCCCACUGCUUCUAGAGUUAGAGAAAGCUUUUUAUAGAAUUAUCCAAAUAGAGAAUCUGACCCUAUUUACAUGAAUAUGAAAAAUAUCAGAUUUGGCUUUCUUUUUCUAGUUGAAUCCCAUCAUAAUUAGAACCAAAAAAACUGUGUCAGUGUACUCUUGCCUCACCCUGACUCCUGAAAAAAGAAAAAAAAGAUGUAGUUCUCAGAAUAAUUUUAUACUUACUCAUUGAUACUUUGAAAUCUAAAAUAGAAGA